AUUGAACGCUGGCGGCAUGCUUUACACAUGCAAGUCGAACGGCAGCGCGGGGCAACCUGGCGGCGAGUGGCGAACGGGUGAGUAAUACAUCGGAACGUACCCAGAAGUGGGGGAUAACGUAGCGAAAGUUACGCUAAUACCGCAUACGUUCUACGGAAGAAAGUGGGGGACCUUCGGGCCUCAUGCUUUUGGAGCGGCCGAUGUCUGAUUAGCUAGUUGGUGAGGUAAAGGCUCACCAAGGCGACGAUCAGUAGCUGGUCUGAGAGGACGACCAGCCACACUGGGACUGAGACACGGCCCAGACUCCUACGGGAGGCAGCAGUGGGGAAUUUUGGACAAUGGGCGCAAGCCUGAUCCAGCAAUGCCGCGUGAGUGAAGAAGGCCUUCGGGUUGUAAAGCUCUUUUGUCAGGGAAGAAACGGCCGAGGCUAAUACCUUUGGCUAAUGACGGUACCUGAAGAAUAAGCACCGGCUAACUACGUGCCAGCAGCCGCGGUAA
rnacentral:rRNA from 1 species